AUCACUGAAAGCCACGCUUUGAUGUACCUCUCGUUAUGUGCUUUUGAAGAUCUGGAUAUCAAUUUUAUGUGGGGCGUUCUUGGGUUUUCAAUUAGACCUUGAGGUCUGCUUGAAUAAUGAUAUACCAUGUCACUACAUUGGCUUUCUACUUGACUUCAGGUGUUAUAUUUAUUCCCUUAGUCUUCUCCAGCAAUGGAGAAUGGGUAAACAGCUGAGGUGAGAUUAAUGAUGACAAUAAUGGAUGGGGAAGGCAUUAGUCUGGGUAUCAUUAUCCUCUAGCAGGGCUAGUCACUAGUGGUCCUGACAUGGUGGUUGCUGCUGCUGUUGGUGGUGGGGAGUUGCGGUGCAUGGACAUUACCAAUUAAUUUGGGAGUUGUCAUAUGAACUUCAAUUCCAUCCCUCUUUUUUUUUUCCUUAAUAACUUGAAAGACCGAAAGGAAUGCGGUUGUGGCAGUUCAUUACAAUGUCCUUUGACUUGCAUGAAGUCUGCAAUUUGUGCAAGAGAUGUCUAUUGCAUGACCGUUAAAAAAUCACUAUCAAUGUCGUAACAUAUCUUCAUAGCCACAUUGUUGUAAUUGUGAAUAGAAGGUCUUACACUCACAA